rnacentral:tRNA from 1 species
AAAAAGGUAAGCUAAUUAAGCUAUUGGGUUCAUACCCCAUUUCAAGAGGUAAUAAUCCUCUCCUUUUUA